rnacentral:ncRNA from 1 species
AGGUUAUUGGCAAUGUGUCGACGGCGGAGAGAACAGGCGGAUCGUAAAGACGCCGUAAACCCUUCCCUGGGGGCUCGAGCCGCACCCUCCCUGGCGCGAACGCUUU